GAUGGACGCUGGCGGCGUGCCUAAUACAUGCGAGUCGAGCGAACAGACGAGGAGCUUGCUCCUCUGACGUUAGCGGCGGACGGGUGAGUAACACGUGGAUAACCUACCUAUAAGACUGGGAUAACUUCGGGAAACCGGAGCUAAUACCGGAUAAUAUAUUGAACCGCAUGGUUCAAUAGUGAAAGACGGUUUUGCUGUCACUUAUAGAUGGAUCCGCGCCGCAUUAGCUAGUUGGUAAGGUAACGGCUUACCAAGGCAACGAUGCGUAGCCGACCUGAGAGGGUGAUCGGCCACACUGGAACUGAGACACGGUCCAGACUCCUACGGGAGGCAGCAGUAGGGAAUCUUCCGCAAUGGGCGAAAGCCUGACGGAGCAACGCCGCGUGAGUGAUGAAGGUCUUCGGAUCGUAAAACUCUGUUAUUAGGGAAGAACAAAUGUGUAAGUAACUAUGCACGUCUUGACGGUACCUAAUCAGAAAGCCACGGCUAACUACGUG
rnacentral:rRNA from 1 species